rnacentral:rRNA from 1 species
CGGCGGAACACGUGAAAUUCCGUCGGAAUCCGGGAGGACCAUCUCCCAAGGCUAAAUACUCCCUAGUGACCGAUAGUGAACCAGUACCGUGAGGGAAAGGUGAAAAGCACCCCGGAAGGGGAGUGAAACAGUUCCUGAAACCGUGUGCCUACAAGUAGUUAGAGCCCGUUAAUGGGUGAUAGCGUGCCUUUUGUAGAAUGAACCGGCGAGUUACGAUUUGUUGCAAGGUUAAGCGGAAAAAGCGGAGCCGUAGCGAAAGCGAGUCUGAAUAGGGCGCAUAAGUAACAGGUCGUAGACCCGAAACCAGGUGAUCUACCCAUGUCCAGGAUGAAGGUAAGGUAAUACUUACUGGAGGUCCGAACCCACGCACGUUGAAAAGUGCGGGGAUGAGGUGUGGGUAGCGGAGAAAUUCCAAUCGAACUUGGAGAUAGCUGGUUCUCUCCGAAAUAGCUUUAGGGCUAGCCUCGAGGUAAAGAGUCAUGGAGGUAGAGCACUGUUUGGACUAGGGGCCCUUCUCGGGUUACCGAAUUCAGAUAAACUCCGAAUGCCAUGUACUUAUACUCGGGAGUCAGACUGCGAGUGAUAAGAUCCGUAGUCGAAAGGGAAACAGCCCAGACCACCAGU